rnacentral:rRNA from 1 species
AGCUCCAAUAGCGUAUAUUAAAGUUGUUGCAGUUAAAAAGCUCGUAGUUGGAUUUGUGGCUGUCGCGUGCGGCCCGGCAUUCGUGCCGGUGUUUGCUAGCGUCGCCAUCCUUGGGUGGAACCUGUGUGGCAUUAGGUUGUCGUGCAGGGGAUGCCCAUCGUUUACUGUGAAAAAAUUAGAGUGUUCAAAGCAGGCUUAUGCCGUUGAAUAUAUUAGCAUGGAAUAAUAAGAUAGGACCUUGGUACUAUUUUGUUGGUUUGCGCACCAAGGUAAUGAUUAAUAGGGACAGUUGGGGGUAUUCGUAUUCCAUUGUCAGAGGUGAAAUUCUUGGAUUUUUGGAAGACGAACUACUGCGAAAGCAUUUACCAAGGAUGUUUUCAUUAAUCAAGAACGAAAGUAG